GGAGGGUAUAACUCAGUGGUAGAGUGCGUGCUUAGCAUGCAUGAGGUCCUGGGUUCGAUCCCCAGUACCUCCA
rnacentral:tRNA from 1 species